UGUCUAAAAGGAGUUGCUGUUGGAGUUCCAGAUCGGAAAAAACUGAAAGUGAUCUAUAUAUUUUUUUCUGCAGGGAAGAGACUUCCAUCUUAAAAUAUUGUUGCCUGAAGAUUUGCAGCUGAAGAAUGCAAGAUUACUAUGUAGUUGGAAGCUGAGGACAAUACUUUGUGGAUACCACCAAAUAAUACAACAAAGAAUGAAGCACUCUCCUGAUCUAAUGAGCUUUAUGAUGGAGUUGAAGAUGGUCUUGGUAGGUAUUUGUUUUCUAACACUGCUACCAUAAGUCUUGAUUGCUUUUGUAAUUCCUGUAUCUUUUAUAUCUUACUGUGAAAAUCUUGGUUUC